rnacentral:rRNA from 1 species
GUACGGGGGGGUAAGCGUUGUUCGGAAUUACUGGGCGUAAAGGGCUCGUAGGCGGCCAACUAAGUCAGACGUGAAAUCCCUCAGCUUAACUGGGGAACUGCGUCUGAUACUGGAUGGCUUGGAUUCGGGAGAGGGAUGUGGAAUUCCAGGUGUAGCGGUGAAAUGCGUAGAUAUCUGGAGGAACAUCGGUGGCGAAGGCGGCAUCCUGGACCGGUAUUGACGCUGAGGCGCGAAAGCCAGGGAGCAAAGCGGG